rnacentral:lncRNA from 1 species
GGCGCGGCUCGGAGCCCACGGUCGCUAUAGCCAUCGGGACUGCUACCUGGCCGCUCUAGGGCUCGGUCUACCUGAGGCCUGAGGCUGGAGCCGGGAGGGAGGCCUGGAGGGCUUCCCGCUCUCACGUCUCACGCGGCGUGCGGGCAAGACGGUGCGCGUCUGGAGUCGGUGGCGGCUAACGGCGGGCAGGUUGUAAGGGGGGUUCCCGCGGGUCCCCUGCCGGCACGGGGCUGCCUCCAGGCCCCGGCUGCGCGCCCUCAUCAAGAACCGCGCCCUACGGUCCUGGGGCGCUUGACGUGCGCAGUCCGCAGGCAUUGCUUACUGAACCUUGGAGCCAACCCCCUAAAGGAACCAAUUGCAGGUAUUAAUAGGUCGUUAUCGAAAAGGACGACUUUGAGUGGUAAGGUAUCUCCUUAGGCACCGUGCCUCGAUGGCCCUGGGGUUGUCGCACUCCCAUUCCUGGGUCAACUCCGCUCCCAGCCUCAACACCAGCUGCACCCCUGGUAGGCUUGCAGUGGGGUGAACAGAACCCAGCCCCUUUUGCUCUUUUGCCCUCCAAGCAAGGAGGGGAUGCGAAUCGGGCAUUUUCGGAAACCUGAGGGAAAAUGAAAUGGAAGCGAGCUUUCCGUAAAGUGAGUAAGUGAAUAAGUAAAUAAGGAGGGGGAGCCGGCGCCUUGGCGCACACCUGCAAUCCUAGCUACUUGUAGGCUGAGGCUGGAGGACCGCAAGUUCGAGGCCAACCUUAGCAACUUAGCGAGACCUUGUCUCAAAAUAGAAAAUAGGACUGGGGAUGUAGUUCAGUGAUAGAGCACGCAGGGUUCAACCCCCAGAACCAAAACAAAAACAACACAGAGGGGAUUAAAGAACUGAUAGCUUGCCACUUCAGAGUAACUGGGAGCCUGGAGGAAUUAUAUAUGUAGAGAAUAUAUAUCUAUAUCUCCUCAGGCUCUAAAUGUUUGUGUUUUUUUUUUUUUUAAACAAGACUGGGGUUUGAACACAAAUCGCUCUACCAAUAACCUACAUUCCCAGACCUUCCCCCCCCCCCCCACAGGGACAGGUUGCUGAAGCUGGCCUCGAACUUGCGAUCAUCCUGCCUCAGCCUACCAAGUCAUUAGAAUUUCAGUAGGGCAUGGUAAAAAUAAUUUUAAGUAAGUAAAUUUGAAACAUUUACAAAAUAUUGGGUUUGGGGCUUCUUAACAGUUAAAGAUGCUUGGGGUAGGGGCACAGAGGUCCUGUUUAAACUUCCUCUUCUGUCUGAAGAACUUAACUGAAAAGCCUUCCCCUGUUUUGUUUUGGCACAGCAUUUCCAGAGG